GACGAACGCUGGCGGCGUGCUUAACACAUGCAAGUCGAACGGAAAGGCCCAGCUUGCUGGGUACUCGAGUGGCGAACGGUGAGUAACACGUGGGUGAUCUGCCCCAAACUUCGGGAUAAGCCUGGGAAACUGGGUCUAAUACCGGAUAUGACCUGCUCCUGCAUGGGGGUUGGUGGAAAGCUUUGCGGUUUGGAUGGGCCCGCGGCCUAUCAGCUUGUUGGUGGGGUAAUGGCCUACCAAGGCGACGACGGGUAGCCGACCUGAGAGGGUGAUCGGCCACACUGGGACUGAGACACGGCCCAGACUCCUACGGGAGGCAGCAGUGGGGAAUAUUGCACAAUGGGCGCAAGCCUGAUGCAGCGACGCCGCGUGAGGGAUGACGGCCUUCGGG
rnacentral:rRNA from 1 species